AGAUUGACGCUGGCGGCAGGCCUAACACAUGCAAGUCGAGCGGAAACGAGUUAUCUGAACCUUCGGGGGACGAUAACGGCGUCGAGCGGCGGACGGGUGAGUAAUGCCUAGGAAAUUGCCCUGAUGUGGGGGAUAACCAUUGGAAACGAUGGCUAAUACCGCAUGAUGCCUACGGGCCAAAGAGGGGGACCUUCGGGCCUCUCGCGUCAGGAUAUGCCUAGGUGGGAUUAGCUAGUUGGUGAGGUAAGGGCUCACCAAGGCGACGAUCCCUAGCUGGUCUGAGAGGAUGAUCAGCCACACUGGAACUGAGACACGGUCCAGACUCCUACGGGAGGCAGCAGUGGGGAAUAUUGCACAAUGGGCGCAAGCCUGAUGCAGCCAUGCCGCGUGUGUGAAGAAGGCCUUCGGGUUGUAAAGCACUUUCAGUCGUGAGGAAGGUAGUGUAGUUAAUAGCUGCAUUAUUUGACGUUAGCGACAGAAGAAGCACCGGCUAACUCCGUGCCAGCAGCCGCGGUAAUACGGAGGGUGCGAGCGUUAAUCGGAAUUACUGGGCGUAAAGCGCAUGCAGGUGGUUUGUUAAGUCAGAUGUGAAAGCCCGGGGCUCAACCUCGGAAUAGCAUUUGAAACUGGCAGACUAGAGUACUGUAGAGGGGGGUAGAAUUUCAGGUGUAGCGGUGAAAUGCGUAGAGAUCUGAAGGAAUACCGGUGGCGAAGGCGGCCCCCUGGACAGAUACUGACACUCAGAUGCGAAAGCGUGGGGAGCAAACAGGAUUAGAUACCCUGGUAGUCCACGCCGUAAACGAUGUCUACUUGGAGGUUGUGGCCUUGAGCCGUGGCUUUCGGAGCUAACGCGUUAAGUAGACCGCCUGGGGAGUACGGUCGCAAGAUUAAAACUCAAAUGAAUUGACGGGGGCCCGCACAAGCGGUGGAGCAUGUGGUUUAAUUCGAUGCAACGCGAAGAACCUUACCUACUCUUGACAUCCAGAGAACUUUCCAGAGAUGGAUUGGUGCCUUCGGGAACUCUGAGACAGGUGCUGCAUGGCUGUCGUCAGCUCGUGUUGUGAAAUGUUGGGUUAAGUCCCGCAACGAGCGCAACCCUUAUCCUUGUUUGCCAGCGAGUAAUGUCGGGAACUCCAGGGAGACUGCCGGUGAUAAACCGGAGGAAGGUGGGGACGACGUCAAGUCAUCAUGGCCCUUACGAGUAGGGCUACACACGUGCUACAAUGGCGCAUACAGAGGGCGGCCAACUUGCGAAAGUGAGCGAAUCCCAAAAAGUGCGUCGUAGUCCGGAUUGGAGUCUGCAACUCGACUCCAUGAAGUCGGAAUCGCUAGUAAUCGUGGAUCAGAAUGCCACGGUGAAUACGUUCCCGGGCCUUGUACACACCGCCCGUCACACCAUGGGAGUGGGCUGCAAAAGAAGUAGGUAGUUUAACCUUCGGGGGGACGCUUACCACUUUGUGGUUCAUGACUGGGGUGAAGU
rnacentral:rRNA from 1 species